rnacentral:tRNA from 1 species
AGAGCGAUGGUGUAGUGGCGUAGCAUGCUGCUAGGCAAGCAGCUGUUGUGGGUUCGAGUCCCACCCUGCACUA